CUCCAAUGCUUAAACCACAGGAGAAAAGUAGGAUGCUGGUACCACAGAAGUAGUGUGCUCCAAACUUCGGGCUGUACCUACUGUCCGGGGAUGAAAUCUGCCACCAGGACUUGCAAUACAUAGUCCUGUGCUCCCCAAGAGCUUUCGCUUCCUGCAAUGCGCUUGAGACCCGCAUGCAUCUUUGAAGAAAUGAUGCCUACUGCGAUUCAAGGAAGCAGGCUGUUCAUAAGGCAUAGUGACGAGCGCUACUGAAUCGUGUUCAUAAAUCACUUGUAGACCUUCUGCCAAUCACCAUCCAAUCAGCACUCGUACAGGAUAUGAGCGUGGAUGUUAUCGCAAUUUAAUGGGUCAGGGAUGCAAGGUGCUAUUGAAAGAAGUGAGGUUCAAUAGCAGUCUAGCAUCUGAACAAAAGAAGAUUUUCGCUGUAUUUUUCUGUGUUCUAGAGAAGUUAUGCGUGUCAGCACCCUCAUGCUCAACACAUUGCCCCGCUCAUCCCCAGAUACGCACAGAGCCUGGGCAAGGGGACGUCCUCCAGGAUGAAGCAUGGAGAGCUCCUGCUACUGAGCCUGCUGCUUCGUCCAUCUUCUGUGAUUCAAGGCUUGGUCUCCCUCCUGGAUGUGUUCACAGCCACACUCCCUGCUGUUCUUGGGACCUGACACAUCAGCAUGGCUCUCGACCUCUCCUCAUGCAAACCUUCCCUGCGUGGCAAAUAGGGAAUUUUGCCCUCCUUAAUGGGAGUUGCACUAUCUGA
rnacentral:lncRNA from 1 species